UCCUGGAUGUGCCCUAUUGGACUCCAAAGACCUGCAAUAUCCACCCACCAAAUCCUGCCUGGGUUAUUCUCCACCUGGGUUAUCCCUGGACAAAAGCCACAGUAACAAAUAUUCUGGUCAAAGUUAAUAUUCUCAUUUUUCUCAACUCCUGGAUGUGCCCUAUUGGACUCCAAAGACCUGCAAUAUCCACCCACCAAAUCCUGCCUGGGUUAUUCUCCACCUGGGUUAUCCCUGGACAAAAGCCACAGUAACAAAUAUUCUGGUCAAAGUUAAUAUUCUCAUUUUUCUCAACUCCUGGAUGUGCCCUAUUGGACUCCAAAGACCUGCAAUAUCCACCCACCAAAUCCUGCCUGGGUUAUUCUCCACCUGGGUUAUCCCUGGACAAAAGCCACAGUAACAAAUAUUGUAUGUCAGUGUUUUUGAUUUUAUCAAAAGCAGCAUUUUUGUUUUUAACUAGUCCACUACUCUUGUUAGAUGUACUAGACUACUGCCAGACUCUGCCAGCAGCCAUAACCUCCCCCCUGUCUAUCUACUGCUCUACACCAUAGUCUGGUCUCCUUGUCUCUGUAGGCCCCACCCUUUAUUGAACUAGCCCUCUAACCUCUCUUUCCCACUACUUGCCUUUCCCCCACUCCCACCUCCUGUGCUCUCUUGCCAAGGUAAUCCCAGACUUUGACCUCUAAGGGUUAGUCUCUACCCUCCACUGAAACCAAUCUAUCUCUCUCCCUACCUCCUACUCGAAAUCAUUUUAUGCUUGUUGCUCUUUUCUCACUUACUAUUCUUUUUCUUUCAUCCUUCUAAGCCCUGUCUAUAUCUCCUUCCCAUAGUCCUUUCAAUCCUCUACCUAGCUCUCCUUCACUAC